GCAGGGCAGGGAGGGGGCGAGAGAAGAAACUCACGGCAGGCCUCACAUUAGCUGGCCUUAGGGGUGGAGAGAGUGGGAGAUCCUCACCGGACUUAAAAGUCAGCCAGAGGCAAAGCGAUGGGGCAAAGGAGCUGAGGCAUCGGAGUCUAACAUGGGGGAUGUGAGCCAACGGGGUACCCACCUCCACCACUCAAUAGCUGCGUGCCCUCGACAAAGUCGUGGCAUCUCCCUGGGCCCAUGUCUUUCUCUAGAAAAUGGAGCUAAAUGUAUGGAGGCUGUGGUGAGGACCUAUGCUACCCCCUCGCUGAAUGCCCAGCAGAGAGUUGGUGCUCCGUCAGUGGUAUUUCCUGGGGACUUAUGACCCCUACUUUGGGCAGAAGCAUAUGGUGCAUUAGCUGAGUGUCAGGCUUUUAAAACUGGGGUGCUCCUGACUCUCAGGGACCCAGCAAUGAUCCAGGAGGCCCGGAAAGCCCCAGGCAAUACAGAACCUCCUCACUGAGCAUCCACGGUGCUUUAAGCCCAGACACGCCACCCACACCACUGGCUCAGAGAUUUUCCCAUGGUCUUCUCUAGCCUCCAUACUGACUCAGUCCACCUGUUGGGUGUUGCACCAGAUAAGCCAAACCAUGGUGAAACUGAAUUUUUGGAAUGGAACCCGGAUUCUUUGUCCACCGGAAUCGAAGAAUGAAUCCACGGACAGAAAGUGGUAUAGCAAAGAGGGGGACUUUGGGAAUCCUAUGAGCCAACAGGUAGAAGCAUUCAGACACCUGGACACAUUCUAGACAAAUGCACGCAGCGGUGUCAUAGCAAAGAAAAGUCAAAUCUAAACCAAAUGUGAGCAGGAGUGUGUGGAGCCUGAACCAUGGGAUUUGAGAAUUAUAAACAUAGAAGGCCACUGGACUCUUUUAAAGGGACAGCAUUCAAUUCUGUGUCCCAGAGAAGGAGCAAAAUGGCAAGGUAAAGAGAAAAGUGCCAUUCCAGUUAAACUUUAACUCAAAGAAAAAAUCCAUUCUUAGUUCACUCUCUCAGUGUGAUUCUACAUAUGCAAAUGAGCAGUGGUGGAAAAGUUCUCGGGAACUAAUUAUUAGUAACGUCUAAACCAGUAAUCUGGUAAGCAAUCUUCAUGGUAAAUGACGUUGAAUGACUAAUUAAUCUCAAACUGACCAACUGUGAUUAUGGAGUGGGGAAGCCUUAGAAUUAGUAAGGCUUUCAAAUUAUGGCAAAGAAAGCAGUCGGUGUGACUGCUGCACCCUGGGAAUUCCAGGGGACAAAGCGCCCCUAGAUUCUAGAUA